rnacentral:lncRNA from 1 species
AAACUUAUCCUAAUUAGUUUUUAAUUUGGCCACUAUCUCUAUAAUUUUGUAACGUCCCAAUAAUUUCACAUGAAAAAGGAGUUUUAAUUAGAAAUAUAUGAAAUCUUGCAUUCUAGUAAUAAUAAUUAGGCCCAAAUAUUUCAGCCUGUGGUUUGGGUUCAAAACGAGUUAUUAUUGUUAGCAGAUCGAAUCGUUAUAUUGGCAUCAGAGUCAAAUACUCCGGAAGUGUACAAGUUAAGUGUUAUGCGGAGCAAAGUUUUACACCAUAAAUUUAAUAGGAGUCACCUCUUGAAGGUCUCUCACCGUAAUAAUAAUAAUUAAAUUUAAAUAUUUUGGACCGAUAGUUUAAACCUAAUAAAUUAUUAUUGUUGGCAGAGUGAGUCGUUAUAUCUUUAAUUUUUAUUGUGGACUAGCCAACUCUUGGCUUCUAGCCUUCUUUACCCCACCCUGGGUGUUAUUGAAGAUAAUUAAAUCGAAGCACCAUUAUCUGACUACUUAAGUUUUUAAAAAAUAAUUAUUGUUUCAUAUUAUUUAAUAUAGUAUCAUAACGGACGGUCCAGUCAGGCUCUUAUAACAUAAUUAGUUUUCUCUCAUUUAAUUUAAGUCCACAUUUACACUAUCAUCUAAUAGCUUCGCUUCUAGAGAAUAAUGACCGUCUUAUAU